UUCGGCCCAAACGCUAGCGAGUUGUCUUAUUUUUCCAGUGUUUUCACUUGAAUGCGGGAGAAAGUUCUUUGGAAGCUAUGAAUGGUUGCAAGGACAUGAGGGAUUCCUCUUUAGUUAGAUUCUCUCUCAGACAAAGGGCUCUAAAGGCCAGGCUUCCUGCUGGGCUCCCAGCAGAGGCUCCAGUGCCCCAGACAACCUGAGCCUGGCCCUGGCUGUCAGCAGUGAGAGAGGGCCCACCAGGAAAUCAUGGUUAUCUACGCUCUGCGCUUUGUUCCUGUUCUCAGACAACAAGCGACAGGGCUGGGGAGCCGGGCUAGGGGGUGGAGAAAGAGGAAGAAAAAACAGGAAGUGAAAGGGGGGGAGGAAAUGAUAUGGAAAACACAGCAACUCUGAAAAGUCCUUGGCCUGACGAGAAAGUGAAUCCCGAGCCGGCGUUUGUAGAGGCUGGCCCUGCAUUUUGUGAAACCGGGUCUCGAAGGUUCACAAUGCAAUGCACACUGGCCUCUCGGAACAUUGUCUACUCAAGGUCUUAGAAGGAAAGAGCUGUGGAGGGCUUGCAAGGAC
rnacentral:lncRNA from 1 species